CAAGACCUUGCGCUGAAGGAGCGGCCGAUGUCUGAUUAGCUAGUUGGUGGGGUAAAGGCUUACCAAGGCAACGAUCAGUAGCUGGUCUGAGAGGACGACCAGCCACACUGGGACUGAGACACGGCCCAGACUCCUACGGGAGGCAGCAGUGGGGAAUUUUGGACAAUGGGCGAAAGCCUGAUCCAGCCAUGCCGCGUGAGUGAAGAAGGCCUUCGGGUUGUAAAGCUCUUUUAGUCGGAAAGAAAGAAUCGCAAUGAAUAGUUGCGAUUUAUGACGGUACCGACAGAAAAAGCACCGGCUAACUACGUGCCAGCAGCCGCGGUAAUACGUAGGGUGCGAGCGUUAAUCGGAAUUACUGGGCGUAAAGGGUGCGCAGGCGGUUUUGCAAGUCGGAUGUGAAAGCCCCGGGCUUAACCUGGGAAUU
rnacentral:rRNA from 1 species